UAAAUUUAAAAGGUGAUUUUUAGUUACACCCGGAAUUCUCAGCCUAUUUAGAAGUAUCCCAUAGUUUAAAAAUCCAGGAAUCUCUGAAUUCCUGGCUAACUCCUGAGUAAAAUCAACCUAUCUACCAGGAAAAGCACUAGAAGGCACCAUGCCCCUUCAUGGGCGAGUGACUUGAGGGAAUACAUGGGUAAAAGGGAAGGUGCCAUAAGUUAACUUCUUUGGCCAGCACUCCAGACUGAGCAUCGAGCCUCCUUUAUUCCCACCUUCUCUUCCAGACGCACGCCGACACUGGGCAGAAGGGAAGAAACCAGUGGGGAUACUGUUGUUUUGCGGGGGCAGCAUGAGCAGACCCAGGAAGAAAAUGCUGGCCUUGAGAUAGAUAGCUCUUCAGAGGAUCCAGAUUAAACUAAGUUCGAGUCACUUCUCACAGUUGACUUCCUCACCAAAUAAUAAGGGGGUGAAGAAGACUCGGCCUACCUACUACUCAGUAAUCCUGCUGUCCAGUCGACUGGAGAAGAGAGAUUUGUUCACCUCUACUAGUUUUAUUUGUUCUUAGUAGUUGUAGAAUUUAAAUUGGUUUUAAUGAAAUGUUCCUUUUAUGAAAUUUUAAAUAAAAGCCAUUUAGUGUAUAUUUAGUAUAGCAAGAAGCAUGUGAAUAAGCUCCAUAUAACCUGACAUUGCGCAUCUUACAGCAUCCUCUUGGUCAGAUGUCUAAUAAAAAGAUUGUUAUUUUCAAAUUUAUCAUAGUUCCUGCAACUUGCACUUUUUAAAGCUGUGUUUGUGAGAGUUUAUAGACUGCAUAUUGCUAUACUUGAUGGAAAUUAAACUAUUUUUAUUUUGAAAGAAGUUAAUUUAUAUUUUAAGUUCUUUAUGUUUUUCUCCUUUUACCUGAGUUCUUUUCAGUCAUUUUGUGUUGUUAAGUUUUUUUUAGGUUGUCAUAUAUUUUUCUUUUUUAGGUUACCAUCCUAGUUUACUGUAAAACAUUUCUUAGAGCAAUAGAUUGGGAAAGAGCCUCGAGAUAUCUUUUAGACCAAAUCCUAGAUCUCAGAAAGCCAGUGGACAUUCAGUAAAUGCUUGUUGGCCAGGUGCCGUGGCUCACGCCUAUAAUCCCAGCACUUCAGGAGGCCAAGGUGGGAGGAUGGCUUGAGCCCAGAAGUUCAAGACCAGCCUGGGUAACAUAAUGGGAUUCCAUCUCUACAAAAAUAAAAAUAAAAAAAUUAGCCAGGAAUGGUGGUGUGCACCUGUAGUCCCAGCUAUUUGGGAGGCUGAGGUAGGAGGAUUCCCUGAGCCUGAGAGGUUGAGGAUGCAGUGAGUGGUGAUCACACCACUGCACUCCAGCCUGGGUUACAGGGUGAGGCCCUGUCUCAAAUAAAUAAAUAAUUAAAACUUGUUAAGUGAAUGAAUAAACUAGGGGGGCAACUCUGAGAGUGUCUGCCCACAAAUCCUACACAGUGCCUUCAAAUUACUGGGUGCAGUGGCUCACACCUGUAAUCCCAGCACUUUGGGAGUCUGAGAUGGGCAGAUCAUCUGAGGUCAGGAGUUCAAGACCAACCUAGCCAACAUGGUGAAACCCCGUCUCUACUAAAAUACAAAAAUUAGGCGGGCGUGGUGGCAGGUGUCUAUGGCCCCAGCUACUCAGGAGGCUGAGGCAAGAGAAGCACUUGAACGUGGGAGACGGAGGUUGCAGUGAGCCGAGAUCGCACCGCUGCACUCCAACCUGGGCGACAGAGUGAGACUCCGUCUCAAAAAAUAAAACAAAAUACUGAAUGUAAAUCCCUUAACAUUGUGCUGUUGUGCCACAGCUCCUUACAGGUCCCACCUUCCCUCUCACUUUCUGCCCACCCUGUUACCUGCCUGGCCCCUGUAAGCUUUUCUGCUGUGCUUUUGGAAAUCUUUCAACCACAAUAGCAUGCUUUGUUGCAAACUCUUAGGGACCUAAGCCAGGCAUGGUGGCAUGCACUUGUAAUCCCAGCUACUUGGGGAGGCUGAGGCGGGAGGAUCACUUGAGCCCAGGAGUUCAAGACCAGCCUGGGCAACAUAGCGAGAACAUGUCUCAAAAAUAAAAAGGAAAAAAAUGGGGGAAAAAACCCUCCCAGGGACAGAUAUCCACAGCCAGUCUUGAUAAGCUCCAUCAUUUUAAAGUGCAAGGCGGUGCCUCCCAUGUGGAUGAUUAUUUAAUCCUCUUGUACUUUGUUUAGUCCUUUGUGGAAAUGCCCAUCUUAUAAAUUAAUAGAAUUCUAGAAUCUAAUUAAAAUGGUUCAACUCUACAUUUUACUUUAGGAUAAUAUCAGGACCAUCACAGAAUGUCUGAGAUGUGGAUUUACCCUAUCUGUAGCUCAGUUCUUCAACCAUUCUUUUAGCAAGGCUAGUUAUCUUCAGUGACAACCCCUUGCUGCCCUCUACUAUCUCCUCCCUCAGAUGGACUACUCUGAUUAAGCUUGAGCUAGAAUAAGCAUGUUAUCCUGGGAUUCCAUAUGGAAUAUUUUAUACAUGAGUGAGCCAUUAUGAGUUGUUUGAAAAUUUAUUAUGUUGAGGGAGGGUAACCGCUGUAACAACCAUCACCAAAUCUAAUCGACUGAAUACAUUUGACGUUUAUUUCUUGUUCACCUGACAGUUCAGUGUUACCUAAAUUUACAUGAAGACCCAGAGGCCCAUGCUCCUUCAUUUUGGGCUCCACCGACCUCCAAGGUUUCAGGGCCCUCUGCCCCGCCUUCUGCACCCACAGGGGAAGAGAGUGGAGGAUGCACACGCCCAGGCCUGGAAGCGACGCAUGUGGCUUCCCCGUCCACAGACUUCACCCACAGUCCAUUGGCCUUCUUAAGUCAUGGACUCCUGCUGAGCUGCCAGGGUGCGUGGGAAAUCCAUGUGACUGUGUGCCCUGGAGGAAGGGGAGCGUUUCGGUGAGCACACAGGAGUCUUUGCCACUAGACGCUGAUGAGGAUUCCCCACAGGCGAUGAAGCAUGGAGACUCAUCUUGUAACAAACAGAUGAGUUGUUGACAUCUCUUAAGUUUAUUUUGUGUGCAGUUUUUAUUCAGAUAGGAAAGGCUGUUAAAAUCUUAACACCUAACUGGAAGAAGGGUUUUAGAGAAGGGUGGUUUUCAGUAAGCCAGUUCUUUCCACAAUCCAAGAAACGAAAUAAAUUUCCAGCGUGGAGCAGUUUGCAGGUAAGGUUUUUGUUGUGGUCUCGCCCAGGCUUGAGUGUAACCGGUGUGGUCAUAGCUCACUACAUUCUCAAACUCCUGGCCUUAAGUCAUCCUCCUGCCUCAGCCUCCCAAAGGCAAGUAAGGUUAAGAAUAGGGGAAAGGUGAAGUUUCACAGCUUUUCUAGAAUUCUUUUUGUUCAAGGGACUCUCAGAUCAUCAAACCCACCCAGAAUCUGCUCAAUUUUCAAGAUUUGCUUAUAAAUAUUUAUAAUAUAAACACUCAAUUGCUAUCUGUUUUUUAGGUUCUCCUCUCUCUCCCAGAACAGUGGUAACAGGAACUCUUGGGGGCUUCUCCCUGUUCUUGCAGAUGUGGCAGGAUGUGUUUCUGGGGGGCUCCCAUGCCAGUCCACACCCUCUGUGGUGUAAGCAGGGAUUGGUAAUUAAUGAGAUGCUAAACCCUCCAGAAGUGAGCGCUCAUGUCCCAGAAACACAUCUUCCACCUCAGCAGCCAGUGGGAAAACUAGACUUUGUGUCUGCAUAUUUGUUCUUAAACACACUCUUCUGCAGUCUAACUCUGCUGACCACUUUCCAGUUUGCUCAUAUCAGAAUUUCUUUGGUUCUAAGAUGCAUAUUUUCUUUUUGUAUUCUGACUUGUUAGAAAUUAGAAUAUGUCUUGCAGCCAAUAAAAUCUAUGACAACAUUUUUUUUUUCUUAAUGGUUCCUAAAACUGUAGUUGAUGGUGUCUUGCUUAGGUUUAACGAAAGAUAUUUUAAUAUAUGGCAUGGUUAUGUGGAGUUGUAUCUCUAUCAGUAUUAAUGGGCUGGGGAUGAUUUAUAUUCAACUGAACCCCCAAAUUCAACAUUUUGUGUUGAAUAUUUAUUUUAUCAGUUAUUCUUUAUCCUGUACUCAUUUUGGAUACUUACUAAAGUAUUGUAUGUAUUUGUUAUAAUAAAAUGGCUUACCGUGUUUGAACACACUGUGUAUCUGACAAUGUUCUAAGACCUCAUUUGAUCUUCAUGACAACUUCAUAAAAUAGUUACUAUUAUCCUCAAUUCACAAAUGAGAAAGUGAGACACAGAGAUGCUAAGGAAUUGCCCAAAGUCACACAGCUACUGAGUGGCAGAGCCAGGGUCCGGGCCCAGGCAGUGUGGCUCCAGGUGCCGCCCACUCUUGACGUGAUACUUACCGUCAAUGCUCCUUACCAGUUAGGGAUGAGCUGAUUCUCAUAUUUUUCCAAGAUACAUUUUAAUUUUAGCUUUAUUUGCUGUAUCAUCAUCAUCAGUAUCAUCAUCAUCAUCAUCAUCAGUUUUCUUGUUUUAAAAUAGGGUUUGGAGUCUCUUCAAGUCUUUCUGUUUUGGAAAAGUAAAACUUAAAAAUCUAUAGCCAUGUGAAUUAUACUUAUGGAGAAAAAGAGUCUUGUUUUAUUAACAUCAGACAUCUUUGUUCCUACUAAUUAUUUUGGAGUAAUGUUCAGCAUCGGGCUAAUGAUCGAUGGAUAUCACUCAUCCAAUUAUGAUGCAUGGAUUAGACCACGGCCUUAAACUUUGUACAUAGUGUUGAAUAAAUUCACCUUAUUUGCAGUCUUAUUGUCAUCUAGCUUUGAUACACUUGCCCUUUCAUAUGUCUCUUGUCACUAUUCUGUGUAAGAUUAUAAUCCCAAAUACCACUAUAUGUAUUUUUCUUCAUAUUCUAUUAUCG
rnacentral:lncRNA from 1 species